UCCCUCCUGCUGAACUCUUCCUACCCGGGCUCUGAACACAUCCCUGAGCUGCAGAGCUGACGUCUGGGUGACAGUGAAACGGGGUAUUCAUUUGUACCAAAACAAACAAACAAACAAACAAAACCUGGAAUGACGGUGUGUGGAUUUCUUGUGUGCUUAUUCGUAGGAUUGAGAAAGGGUGAGGCUAAGGUCCCGAGCCUUCGUGAAGCAAUGGAGAAAGUGCCGUCCCAAGGCUCAGUUCCACACGGCGCUGUGAGGCUGAAGGGGCUCACUGGAAGUUCCCCUCACAGGACGCCACCUCACCUGAAACCCUCUUUUUCUGCUACCAUCCAAGGGACAAGAUCUCCUGAGUUGUCGAAGACUCACUCCGGAAGAAAACCCUCUCAGGCAGUUACUGAGGGACUGUGGUCUGGACUAGAACGUGUUUUUCUCAGUGACACCUCUAGAGGGCAGCACUCAACGGAGUCCCACAGACACCUCCCUGCAUUUCCUCCUCAGACACUGGGUGGAUGAUAUGGUAACACUGGGGAAUGCUUGGGUGUUCUCCUGGAAGCUCCUUAUUUUAAUCACCUGUUUACUUGUCUCCAUUCUUAUAGAUAUGUAGGCUACCCGAGGGCAGAGACUGAGUCUGUCUUGUUCACUGUCUACCUCCAGAACCUCACACAGAAUCUGGCACUUAGUAGGUGCACAACAAAAUAAUCAUUGAAUUAGUAUACUGAGUCUUUAACAGAGUCUCUUUCUGUUUAUUGAGUUGACACGAUGUAUCCAAAAGCAGCUGAAUGCACAACUCAAACUGUCAUCCAAGCACACAAAGAAGGCAUUGAUAAAAGCUAUGCUGGUUGUAAGUGGAGAAGAGACUAGAGCAAAGUGAAGCUGCAGGAAAAAGCUGAGACAGGUUACAACGGGAGUGCCAGAGAGAUGUCACUUAAAAUGAGAACUUCUCAGGGUAAGUCUCAUGGUGUUCAUGGCCUUUAAAGUAGGUUCUGAGACACAAUUUUAUGCAGAGGUCCCUUUCUGUGUUCUUCCAAGCCUACAGUAUUACUACAAUAUGACCUUAUCACAUGACCCAUGAAAGAAAACAACUCAAGGUAAUGGCCACAUCUAUUUCUAUUCUUUUCGUCUUAUUCAUGUUCUUGUGUGUCCUUGGAUGGGGAAGGCUGUGUGGGAUCCUGAGCUGAUGACCUCAGCUCAUUCACGGUGCCCCAAGCAUGAAAACAAGGAAAGGGCAUUCUCAGGGCACUGGGGAUGGUUCCUCUAGCAGAUACUCUGAGAGGUCUGGCCUUUUAGCCUGGAGAUAGUUGCCAGACCUGUUCAGGGAGCCACAUCCCUUCCACUUUAACCACCUUCUCCCUCUCCACCACCACAGCUACCACCCCACACACACAUAGGCAUCGCCUGGUGUUAAAAUCUUCAACUGUGGCCGGGCACGGUGGCUCACACCUGUAAUCCCAGCACUUUGGGAGGCCGAGGCGGGCGGAUCACGAG
rnacentral:lncRNA from 1 species